rnacentral:rRNA from 1 species
ACUCCUACGGGAGGCAGCAGUGGGGAAUCUUGGACAAUGGGGCACCGUAGCAUCCAGCCAUGCCGCGUGAGUAGAUGAAGGCCUUAGGGUCGUAAAGCUCUUUCGCCUGUGAAGAUAAUGACGGUAGCAGGUAAAGAAACCCGCGAUACUCCGUGCCAGCAGCCGCGGUAAUACGGAGGGGUUAGCGUUGUUCGGAAUUACUGGGCGUAAAGCGCACGUAGGCGGAUCGGAAAGUUGGGGUGAAAUCCCGGGCUCAACCCGCACGG